rnacentral:rRNA from 1 species
GGACGACCAGCCUCACUGGAACUGAGACACGGUCCAGACACCUACGGGUGGCAGCAGUCGAGAAUUUUUCUCAAUGGGCGAAAGCCUGAAGGAGCGACGCCGCGUGGGGGAUGAAGGGCUUCGGUCCGUAAACCCCUGUCAUUUGCGAACAAACCUUACACAAUAACAUUGGGUGAGCUGAUUGUAGCGAAAGAGGAAGGGACGGCUAACUCUGUGCCAGCAGCCGCGGUAAUACAGAGGUCCCAAGCGUUGUUCGGAUUCACUGGGCGUAAAGGGUGCGCAGGUGGGCUGGUAAGUUCGAUGUGAAAGCCCCGGGCUUAACCCGGGAAUGGCAUUGGAUACUACUGGUCUGGAGGAUUGGAGGGGGGACUGGAAUUCUUGGUGUAGCAGUGAAAUGCGUAGAUAUCAAGAGGAACACCAGUGGCGAAGGCGAGUCCCUGGACAAUUCCUGACACUGAGGCACGAAAGCCAAGGGAGCAAACAGGAUUAGAUACCCUGGUAGUCUUGGCUGUAAACGGUGCGUAUUUGCUGUAAACGGAAUCGACCCCGUUUGUGGCGUAGCUAACGCGAUAAAUACGCCGCCUGGGAAGUACGGUCGCAAGAUUAAAACUCAAAGAAAUUGACGGGGGCCUGCACAAGCGGUGGAGUAUGUGGCUUAAUUCGAUCAACGCGAAGAACCUUACCUGGCCUUGACAUGCAUGUGGUAGAACCAUGAAAGUGGGACGAUCCCGCAAGGGAAGCAUGCACAGGUGCUGCAUGGCUGUCGUCAGCUCGUGUCGUGAGAUGUUGGGUUAAGUCCCGCAACGAGCGCAACCCUUGUGUCCUGUUGCCACUCCCUCGAGAGAGGGAAGCACUCUGGACAGACUGCCUCGCUUAAACGAGGAGGAAGGUGGGGAUGACGUCAAGUCAGUAUGGCCCUUACGGCCAGGGCUGCACACGUACUACAGUGCAUGGCACAAAGGGAAGCUAGACCGUCAGGUGGAGCAAAUCCCAUAAAACCAUGCCCAGUUCAGAUUGUCGUCUGCAACUCGACGACAUGAAGCCGGAAUCGCUAGUAAUGGCGCAUCAGCUACGGCGCCGUGAAUACGUUCCCAGGCCUUGUACACACCGCCCGUCACAUCAUGAAAGCCGGUUGUACCCGAAGUCCACUUUGUUAACCGCAAGGAGACAGUGGCCGAAGGUAUGGCUGGUGAUUGGGAUGAAGUCGUAACAAGGUAGCCGUAGGGGAACCUGCGGCUG